UUUUGUUAUGUAAUUAAAAUUUUAUAACAUUAUUAUAAGUGAAUUAUAAGCUCUUAUUGUCCAUUUCUAUUUUUUUUUUUUUUUGAGUUAAAAUAUACAUAUUUAAAGGUUCAUAACGACAUGUACUUUUAUAAUAAUUAAUAAAUAAAAUGUGUUAAAAGAGUAUAAGCACAUAACUACGCAUAACUUAUAUAUAUAUGUAAACAGCUCAGAAAGAAAAAAAAAAAAGAAAAAGCUGUUAUAAAUGUAAUAGGUAACAAACAUAUUAUUAAUUCUUUUGUUUUUUGUUUGUUCUUGUUUUUUGUUUGUUCUUGUUUUUUGUUUGUUCUUGUUUUUUGUUUGUUCUUGUUUUUUGUUUGUUCUUGUUUUUGUUUGUUCUUGUUCUUGUUUUUGUUUGUUCUUGUUUUUGUUUGUUUUUGUUCUUGUUUUUGUUUGUUCCUUUUUUCUGUUUACACCGGUAAUAAAAUAUAUCAAAGUUAAGUUUUGUCAACUUAUAUAUAUACCUUCUUAUGUUUCCAAAAAAAAAAAAAAGAUUGAAAAAAAUUAAAUAAAACGCUAGUUGCGCAUAAACUAUAAAAUAAGACAAUCAAAUAGGGAUUAAAAUAUGCAAUAAAUUAGACAAUAAAUAGAACAUGAAAAUAGAUAACAAAGAAAAAAACAUAUAAACCAAGAUAUAAACCAAGAUAUAAACCAAGAUAUAAACCAAGAUAUAAACCAACAAAUAAAACAACAAAUAAAACAACAAAUAAAACAAGAAAAAAGUAGACACAAGAAAAAUAAACAGAAUGACAUUACAGAAUUUCCUGGUUGAUAUGAAACAUGAAGGGUCAGAAACAUCUAUGGAAUGUAAAAACAUUAAAAACGUUAAUGAUAGUUAUGCGUUAACAGUUGAUAUGGAAUUAGAUGAUGUGUGUACAUCAAAGAUCACAAAAGUAAGUAAUACAAAUGAUUUAACAAGAUGGAUUUUAUUUAAAAUAUUAUUUAAAAAAUUUAUAUUAGCAUUAUUAUUUUUUAUUCUUUCUAUAGUUAUACAAGGUUUUUUUAUGAUAUAUAGUGAUUCUUACUAUAUCCCAACUAUUCCACCCUUAAAAGACCGUAUACAUGAUAUAUUAAUAAAUCCACCUACGUGGAUUUCAUAUGACCGUAUCAAUCUAUUAAUGAUUAUUUUAUUAUUGUCAUUUAUAGUGUUACUUAUAUUUAACAGUAUAUAUUUGUCAUUUUCUAUUAUUUGUCGUUUUCUGUAUAUGAUGGGUGUUUUUUAUUUAGCUAGAGGGCUCAUCAUAUAUGUUACUUCUGUACCUGCAACAAUAACUGCAUGUGAUGCAUUAAAAAGUGGUGAUUUUUUAUUCAAUUUAAUGCAAGUACUUAAAAUAAAUUUGAGUUUAGUUUAUGUUUGUACCGACUUAAUACUAUCAGGACAUUCAUAUUCGGUUACUAUUUUUUUAUUAUUUUCAUUGUAUUAUACAAAUAAUAUAUGGUUAAAAAUUUUUAUUUUUAUAUUGAGUCUUUCUGUUUACGCAUUUCUUAUAAUUGGAUUUAUACAUUAUACUUCAGACGUUUUAUUGGGAUUUAUUUUUGGACUUUUUAUAUUUACUUUUUAUCAUAUAAUGAUAGAUAUAUACCUUCAUUAUUAUAUUAUUAAUAAGCAGUUUGAUGUUAAGCAUAUAUCAAAUAAUAAUAAUAAUAAUAAUAAUAAUAAUAAUAAUAGUAAUAGUAAUAGUAAUACUAUAGCAAAACCAUUUUUUAUGCGAGUCUUCUUUGUAAGGAUGUUUUUAAAAAUCAUUCCUUUUUUAGAUGGUUUAAAUUAUAUAAUAGAUUAUGCGAUGGACAAAAAUAAUAAUAAAACUGCAUUUUGCACAUGUGAAAAAAAAAAUGAAAACUGUGAUAACUCUUUUAUUUAUUUUAGUGAAAGUAAACAUGAAGAAAAGAUGUCAAUAAAUAUAAACGAUCAUAUAUAUNNUAUAUAUACCGGAGAUGGAACGUAUAACAUAUCAUUAUUCAAAUUUAUAACCCAUUUUAAAACAUUGUAAUAUAGGUACAUAAUAUUAUUAUCUUUGUUAUACAUAUAAAAUUUAUGUAAUACCUAUAUAUACAUAUAUAUGUGCGUUUUUAUAUGCAAAAGAUUAAAUCCCUGUGCACGCUUUAUCUUUAUAUAUUGUGCAUAAAUCUGCUGCUAAAUGCAUGUAUUAAUUUUGUUUUUUUUUUUUUUUCUUUGUACUUUCUUUUAUUUAUUUUAAAGAAUCAUAAAUUAACAUUCUGAAAAAAUUAAUUAAACAAAUAAAUAAAAUUAAUUAAAUAUUUAAGGCUAUUGU
rnacentral:lncRNA from 1 species